rnacentral:lncRNA from 1 species
AGUUUUCCCCCUUCAUUCUAUUAACAUGAUGAAUUACAUUAGUUGAUUUAUAGAUGUUAAAACAACCUUUUUUGUCCACUCAUGAUAUAUUAUUCUUUUUGUAUGUUGCUAGAUUCUACAUAUUAAUAGUUGAUUUAGGAUUUUUGUUAUUUAUAUUUGUAAGAGACACUGGCUUGUAAUUUUCCAUAUAAUGUCCUUGUAAAUUUUGAAAUCAUGGAUAUGCUGGCCCCAUAAAAAAAGUUUACAAAAGUUCCUUUUUUUCCUCUUGAAGCAUUUGUAUAAGAUUGGUAUUAUCUCUUUUUUAAGUGUUUAGAAUAACUUACUCGUAAAGGCACCUAGGCCUGGAGAUGUCAGUCUUCUUCUAUUGUCUGUUUUUACUCCUAAGCUCAUUUGUUGGUAAGCUUGGAAGUUUCUGUUUUGAGUGCUAGAAAUUAUAUAGAAAAAAUUGGGAGAGAUUCUGCGUUAUGUUAUCCUCCUCUAGAGAAGAUCCAAUCUCUCUUUUGCAGGUAGGAGAGGGAAGAUCAUAUCAAUUCAAACAUAAAGCUUGUCUGCUAUUGUAGAGUUCUGUAAUAAUUUUCUACUGAUGCAGUAAGGAAAGUACUUACUGUACUUAGUAAGUACCACAUACUUAGUAAUUUAUAACACAAAUUUAUUAUCUGUAAUAAAUCUGUUCUACAAGUUAAAAUUCUCACAUAGGUCUCAAUGGAUUAUAAUCAAGGUGUUGACAGGCUGCAUUCCUUUUUGGAGGCUCUAGGAGAGAAUACUUUCUCCAUCUUCCAGAGACCACCCACAUUUCUUGGCUUGUGAUCCCCUUAAUCCAUCUUCAAAGCUAGCAAUUUUACAUUUCUCUGGCCAUUCUCCCAGUCAAAUUUACCCCGUCUCCUUCUGCCUCCCACUUCCAUUUUUUAAGAUUCUUAUGAUUACAUUGGGCCCACUAGGAUAAUUCAGUAUUAUCUCCCUGUCUUGAGGUCAGGUGAUUGGCAACCUUAAUUCCCCUUCGUAUGUUCUAGAGAUUAGUACAUAGACAUCUGGGAGCGGGACAUGAUGCUGCCUACCACAGGCUCCAUCUACCUCCUAUUUGUACCCAUUAUUAGAGUAUUCCCCUCUAGGUGCCCUAAGAGCCUGGGUGUUUUCCUAGGCCCCCUUCUACUUAGCAAGUACUGCACUGCAAUUCUUCUCUCCAGUACCAUGUGACUGGGGAAAAUUGCUGUUCUUCAAAUGUCUUCUGCUUCAUUUCUUAAGUCUAUGGUCUCGCAUAGCUUGGUCAGCAAAUAUCUCAAAGAAAAAACCAGUGCAAGAUGUUAGGCUGAUUUCUCUGCAUCUCUCUUCUUUCUGUGAUCUUGACCCUUUAAUUUCUGGCUGUCUUGGCAGCCCACAUUCCAAUUUCUGUCUCUCUAGCUUUAUGAAAUUGACUAAAGUCCCACUCAUUUAUCUGCCUCUUAGAAGCUAUCCAAUGCCUGUCUUCUCAGUCUCUUGCCUUACUUUAAUGACAAAUGUCCAAAGAGAAAAAGAGUGUGUGGAAAGUUGAAUGCAUUUCUGUAAGUGUUCCCCUCUCUAGGAUCUGAUUCUCAAUUCCUAGAUUUCUUGGCAGCUUUAUAAAACCCUCAACUAGAUGCCUGUUUAUGCUUUAUCUAGCUUUUCUCAAUGGAGGUGCUGGUUUGGCUACAAGAUAUUCCAUUAUAGUCAGAAGUGAAAGGUCAUGACAUUCAUUUAAUUGUUAAAAUAUACUCUCAUUUUCAAUGACAUGUAUUUUAAAUAAAUAUACUUUAUUAUAAAAAUAAAUCUGAAAUAAUAGGACUAUUCUAAUGUAGCAAGGUCAAAAAAACACAUCUAUUUAGUUUGAAUUAUUAGAAGUAUAUUAAAUUUACAUUUAUAUACACAACACUGUUUUGUUUUGCUCACUAGAAUCAUAAUAUACUUCAUGAUUUUAUUACUUUUUAGUAUGUGGCCAGUUACAUACAUUGUUAGUCAUCCCUAAAGCAUUUACUCAGCAGUUACUGUACAUAGCACUGAAUUUAGUAAUGUAUAAGACAUAGUACUUUCUUUGGGGAAGUAACAAUCUAGAACAACAAAUAAGACAAACAAGUAUGAAAAUGAUAUUAUAAAGUAGUAUGAGAAUGUAUUGAAAUAGGAAUACAGAAAAUAGUGCUAUAAAGUAAAAUAAUGGUUAAUAUUUACUCCAGAAGCUGAAAUCACUAAACUGCAUGAUAGAACUAAAAGGGACCUUAGACACCAUCUAGUCUGACACUUUAAUUUUAUAGCUGAAGAGACCUUUGCUAACAAAUUAAAUGACUUAUCUAAAGCAACAAAUCUCAUAAGUGGCAGAAUGGAACUAGAACUCUGGCAUCUACAGUCUUGGCUCAAUGUAAUUGUAAAAAAAGAUGUGACCUUAGGAGAAGGGAAGAGUUGCAAGGGAAAGGGACUUGAGGUAGGGAAUACAACAGAUUCAAAACACGAUCAGUUUAGUUGCAGCAAAGCAUUUGUGUUGAAAACUGGUAGAACAUAGGAUUGAAGGAACAAGGGUUGAUGUCAUGGAGAACUUGGAAUGCCAGGCUGAGUUUAGACAAUGGGAAUCCCUAGAGGGUUUGGGUAGUGACAUGAUGAAACUGCUUUAUAAUAAGAUUAAUUCUGGGGUAGAACUUAGUGUAGAAAAUGUAGAAGAGUUUUAUCAAAUGAGCUUGAUGUGAACAUGCCAGUGUCAUGAGGAUACCACUGUACAGUCUCCACACUGUAUCUGUGAACAUCAGGAUGAUCUCUACAAAACAGCAAUCAAAAUUUACAUUAACUGACUUAUAAAACAAAAGUUAACAGAAGACUUCUGCAACCCUAUGCAGAUACAACCGUGAUGCUUUUGGAUUCCUUAAGAUGAAGGUUUGGGACCUUAAAACAUUUGUGGUGCUAUCUGAAGGAAUGAGAACACAAAGAAGGAAAGUCUUAAGUGCCAGCUCUGGCAUUAAAACAGCUGCAAAAAUACAAGAACUAUAGUGCCUA